rnacentral:rRNA from 1 species
ACUAGUCCUAGCCCGCGCUUUAUCAACUUCACACAACAACAAUAAUUCAAGUUAAACAAAACAUUUACCUUUAUUAAAGUAUAGGAGAUAGAAAUUUUCAAUCGGAGCAAUAGAGCAAGUACCGUAAGGGAAAGAUGAAAGAAAUAACUUAUAGUAAAACAAAGCAAAGACUAAACCUUUUACCUUUUGCAUAAUGAAUUAACUAGAAAUAACUUUGCAAAAAGAAUUUAAGCCAAGUACCCCGAAACCAGACGAGCUACUUACGAGCAGCUAUCAGAGCUAAUCCGUCUAUGUGGCAAAAUAGUGGAACGACUUAUAAGUAGAGGUGAAAAGCCUACCGAGCCUGGUGAUAGCUGGUUAUCCAGACAAGAAUUUUAGUUCAACUUUAAAUUUACCUUAAGCACUAAUAAUCCAAAUGUAAAUUUAACUGUUAGUCUAAAGAGGGACAGCUCUUUAGACAAAGGAAAAAACCUUCAUUAGAGAGUAAAACAAUUAACUUCCAUAGUUGGCUUAAAAGCAGCCAUCAAUUAAAAAAGCGUUCAAGCUUAACUAAAUCCAUCAAACUUAAUCUAACCAUUAAAACUCAGCUCCUAACUUCACACUGGAUCAAUCUAUAAUAACUAUAGAAGCAAUAAUGUUAAUAUGAGUAACAAGAAAGUAUUUCUCCCUGCAUAAGUUUAUAUCAGCCCGAAUAAGUCACUGAUAGUUAACAAAUUUAUAAUUUAACUUAAUCAACCCUAACUUUUUAUUAUCCAUAAUGUUAACCCAACACCGGUAUGCACUCAAGGGAAAGAUUAAAAAAGUAAAAGGAACUCGGCAAACACUAACCCCGCCUGUUUACCAAAAACAUCACCUCUAGCAUCAAUAGUAUUAGAGGCACUGCCUGCCCAGUGACAUAUGUUCAACGGCCGCGGUAUCCUGACCGUGCAAAGGUAGCAUAAUCAUUUGUUCCUUAAAUAGGGACUUGCAUGAAUGGCCAAACGAGGGUUUAUCUGUCUCUUACUUUUAAUCAGUGAAAUUGACCUUCCCGUGAAGAGGCGGGAAUAAACUAAUAAGACGAGAAGACCCUAUGGAGCUUAAAUUUACUAGUCCAAGUAUUCCUUUAUUAAAUCUACAAGAGAUAAAACCACUACCCAUGGACUAAAAAUUUUGGUUGGGGUGACCUCGGAGUAUAACUCAACCUCCGAAUGAUUUUAAUCUAGACUCUUAACCAGUCUAAAUUUCAACUCAUAAAUUGACCCAAACUAUUGAUCAACGGAACAAGUUACCCUAGGGAUAACAGCGCAAUCCUACUCUAGAGUCCAUAUCGACAGUUAGGGUUUACGACCUCGAUGUUGGAUCAGGACAUCCAAAUGGUGCAGCAGCUAUUAAUGGUUCGUUUGUUCAACGAUUAAAGUCCUACGUGAUCUGAGUUCAGACCGGAGUAAUCCAGGUCGGUUUCUAUCUAUUAAAAAUUUCUCCCAGUACGAAAGGACAAGAGAAAUAGGGCCAAUAUCCGCAACAUGCCCUAUGCCUAAUAGAUGAAAUAAUCUUAAUCUAAUUAGCUAUUUAAAUAUCCCACCCUAGAACAGGGUUA